UACAGAGACUGCAAGCGUUAUUCGGAUUCACUGGGCGUAAAGGGUGCGCAGGCGGCCAAGUGUGUUAGGCGUGAAAGCCCGGGGCUUAACCUCGGAAUUGCACCUAAAACUACAUGGCUAGAGCAUUGGAGAGGGUAGCGGAAUUCACGGUGUAGCAGUGAAAUGCGUAGAUAUCGUGAGGAACACCAGUGGCGAAGGCGGCUUCCUGGCCUGUUCUUGACGCUGAGGCGCGAAAGCUAGGGGAGCAAACGGGG
rnacentral:rRNA from 1 species